rnacentral:rRNA from 1 species
AGUGAACGCUGGCGGUAGGCCUAACACAUGCCAGUCGAACGGCAGCACAGUAAGAGCUUGCUCUUACGGGUGGCGAGUGGCGGACGGGUGAGGAAUACAUCGGAAUCUACUUUUUCGUGGGGGAUAACGUAGGGAAACUUACGCUAAUACCGCAUACGACCUACGGGUGAAAGCAGGGGAUCUUCGGACCUUGCGCGAUUGAAUGAGCCGAUGUCGGAUUAGCUAGUUGGCGGGGUAAAGGCCCACCAAGGCGACGAUCCGUAGCUGGUCUGAGAGGAUGAUCCGCCACACUGGAACUGAGAAACGGUCCAGACUCCUACGGGAGGCAGCAGUGGGGAAUAUUGGACAAUGGGCGCAAGCCUGAUCCAGCCAUACCGCGUGGGUGAAGAAGGCCUUCGGGUUGUAAAGCCCUUUUGUUGGGAAAGAAAAGCAGCAGGUUAAUACCCCGCUGUUCUGACGGUACCCAAAGAAUAAGCACCGGCUAACUUCGUG